GACGAACGCUGGCGGCGUGCUUAACACAUGCAAGUCGAACGAUGAACCCGGAGCUUGCUCCGGUGGAUUAGUGGCGAACGGGUGAGUAACACGUGAGUAACCUGCCCUUGACUCUGGGAUAACUGCGGGAAACUGUAGCUAAUACCGGAUACGACCCUCGGCGGCAUCGCCAGGGGGUGGAAAGAAUUUCGGUCAAGGAUGGACUCACGGCCUAUCAGCUAGUUGGUGAGGUAACGGCUCACCAAGGCGACGAGGGGUAGCCGGCCUGAGAGGGCGGGCGGCCACACGGGGACGGAGACACGGCCGAGGCGCCGACGGGGGGGAGCAGUGGUGAAUAUUGCACAAUGGGCGCCAGCCUGAUGCAGCAACGCCGCGUGAGGGAUGACGGCCUUCGGGUUGUAAACCUCUUUUAGUAGGGAAGAAGCGAAAGUGACGGUAACUGCAGAAAAAGCACCGGAUAACUACGUGCCAGCAGCCGCCGUAA
rnacentral:rRNA from 1 species